CCUACGGGGGGCUGCAGUGGGGAAUAUUGGACAAUGGGCGAAAGCCUGAUCCAGCCAUGCCGCGUGUGUGAAGAAGGCCUUCGGGUUGUAAAGCACUUUCAGUGGGGAAGAAAGCCUUGGGGCUAAUACCCUCGAGGUAGGACAUCACCCACAGAAGAAGCACCGGCUAACUCCGUGCCAGCAGCCGCGGUAAUACGGAGGGUGCGAGCGUUAAUCGGAAUUACGGGGCGUAAAGCGCGCGUAGGCGGUCUGAUAAGCCGGUUGUGAAAGCCCCGGGCUCAACCUGGGAACGGCAUCCGGAACUGUCAGGCUAGAGUGCAGGAGAGGAAGGUAGAAUUCCCGGUGUAGCGGUGAAAUGCGUAGAGAUCGGGAGGAAUACCAGUGGCGAAGGCGGCCUUCUGGACUGACACUGACGCUGAGGUGCGAAAGCGUGGGUAGCAAACAGGACUAGAUACCCCUGUAGUC
rnacentral:rRNA from 1 species